UAGUUUGAUAAUCAUUUUUAGGGGC
rnacentral:piRNA from 1 species